GGGGUCCGGGUCUGGAGCCGAGCGCGCCGAGCCCGCGAAGCCGCCACCCGGGGCUGCUGAGCUGAGGUCGGCGGCGCCGCGGGGUCCGGGGCCGGCUGUGCCGGCAGCUGCACCCGCAGGAGCAGGAGCAGGUGCAGCAGGUGCAGCAGGUGCAGCAGCGAGGACCCGCGCGCGGGCGGCAGCGGCGACACCAUGGAUCUGUCCUUUAUGGCCGCGCAGCUGCCCAUGAUGGGAGGCGCCUUCAUGGACUCGCCCAACGAGGACUUCAGCACGGAGUACUCCCUCUUUAACUCCUCCACCAACGUCCACGCGGCCUCCAACGGCCAGGGCCAGCUGGAGGAGCCCCCGCGGUCCUCCAACGACGCCGUCUUGCUCUGGAUUGCCAUCAUAGCGACACUGGGGAACAUUGUGGUGGUUGGGGUGGUGUACGCCUUCACCUUCUGAGGUUCGGGCGCCCACGAGCUCCGGGCCGGCUCACCCCGUACUGGGCUCACGGCAGGGCCAGGCUUUGCUCGGGGCACCGGCACUGUUGGCCUUUGGCUGUGCCCACAUUCUGGAACCAGGAGCUCUGACCACACACACAGCCUCUCCGGGGGCAGCGACCCUGCAGGGUCGGGAAUUCCCCCAAGCAGCCCUGAUUUCCAAAUUUUCCUUGCUGUGGUCAAGCUGAUCCAGAAAACACGGGAGCGUGAGCUUCCAGCCCCUGGAGGCGUGAUGGGGCAAAGACUUCGAGGAGCAAAUUGGAAGAUUUUUGAAACCAUAUUCCAAAAAGGUAAGACCAGAGGAAACAGCCAGUUAGGUGUGAAAUAUGGACAUGGUUGGACGAUCGCUUGCUGGCAGUAAAUAAUCACAUAUGUGUCUUGUUUUUAUGCCAACUUACACCCCUGGUGUGUGGGGUGCCGGGCAAGAGCAGCCCUCAGAACUGGCGUGUUCCCAGCCCAGCCUUGGUCUCCCACUCAGCCCUCUGGAAUACCGGUGGUGGUUACUGGGCCAUAGAACAUUCCUCGUGUGACUUGGACAGGGCACCUCUGUCACCAGACACUUGGCCCCUUUUGAGACCCGGAUGCAUCGGGAAAUCCAAGGCUGGGGAAUUACUGGUGACGUGGUGAGAUUUCCCGGGGUGGGGGGUUCUCUGCUGGACGGACUUGCUCUUCUUUUUAAAAAGAGAAGCAGCGCCUUUAAAACUGCAGAUCUGCCAAGUAGUCAAGUCUUCAGACCACCUGCCUGAAGAUGCUCUUUCUCCUCUGAGCAAUCACGGGACUUUAGGGAUGGCGGGCUCAUGCCCACCUGAUCUUCCGACGGAUGGGAGGGAGAGGGCGAUUGGCCUGUGAUCACAGGGCAGGGUGCUGGAGCCCCCGGGGCAGGAGGGACUCUUCCUGACUCACUGGGCUCUCUCAGCCCCAAGGAAGCACUGUCUUAAGCAAAUUCCUACUUCUCAGCUGUCCUCGGGGAGAAUGCCUAUGGGGUCUGGAAGCUGUGUGCCAGGUGGGCAGGGUGCUCAGACUCCUGCAUUGUACCCUGGGUUUGGCGACCGUGUUCCCCUGCAAGUGGGGACGAGCUCUGUCCGAGUCAGCCUCCUUGCAUUCCUCCAAGCCAGUGGCUGGGGGGUCUGGGAAGCAGGGGAGCCUCCUGCAAAGACCAGAACAGGAUGGGAGGCACUGGGAGAGAGGGGCAGCACGGAAAAGGACUCGCUCUUCUGUCCUUAGGAAAGGCCCCUGCACGGUACCUCCCUUCCCCAGGUGGCUCCCCUGUGCCCAGCAGAGUGGGAGAGGCUCACAUGCGGGCUCCCUCACUUACAGGCCAGGAGUGGCUUUCUCCUUGCCCCCCUGCUCCCCCGUGCCGUGCAAAAGAAAAUAAAUGCUCUAAACGUCCCCUAUGUGGUUGAGAAACUUAAAAGCCUGGGUGGGAACCUGUGGUGCUGUUUGGGGACAAUUGCAAAAAGGCUAAUUGUGUGUCCCUGUGGUCUCAGGAGAAAUGAGUGUUCCUGAUGACAGGCAAAGGGACAUCUUAAUUGUCCAGAGGCAGUCAUUCGCCUGCGAGGUUGGCGCUGAGCUGCUGUGAUAACAGGAUUACCAGCCCAACCUCCAGACAGCGUUAGCAGACGGCCGCCAGUUCUGUUUAGCCACAUCUGUCACUGUGGCUGUGCACGCGUGCACAAAUGCUGUGGCUCAAGUGGAGGUCACGAGCGCAGAGAGCCAGCGUGACCCUUGCAGAGAGGGACCUUGUGCCUGGGCUCCUUCUGGAAUCACUGACAGGGCUGUGCUCUCCGUGGGACCAAGCCGGGGGCUGGGCUGCGUGACUAGCCAUGGCGUGGCUGUCACCCCGGCUACUUCUCUAGCAAACUCUUCUCCGUCCCAAGCCCCCACGUGUGCCCAAUCAGCAAGGGCUUUUCUUAUACAGGUGUCUUCAGGAGAACCCAAGGAGGAGGUCCAGAGCCAGGAUGGGGAACCAAGGUGAUGCUUGGUGUCUUUGUGGGGGUCACUCUGGCCCAGAUAUCUUGAUUCCUUACCUUCUGACCCCACAGCCUCAAAGGAGCCCUGUGAAGAGGCAGGUGACAGCUCCCUGUCCUCCAAAUGGCCUGCGGCAGUGGCAGUGGGAGAGAGGGUUCUGUGUGCUGUGACAGAGGAGGAGCAGAGAGUGUGGUCCUAGCUCUAAGGAAAGACUCCACGUAUCCAGGGCAGCCCUGGCGGGCCGGGUGUUCUCUGGGUAAUUCUGGGCACAGGGGUCUCCCCCGUGAAGGCUUUCAUUUCCCCUGGCAUAAAUGCCAGUUAAAUUCAACUUCCAAAUAUUUCUCUCUCUUCAGUGUCAGGACCACAGACACAGGACCUGGAGCUUGAGGGACCAUCUUAUUCAAACUGCAUUCUACGAUUGUCCCAGUCUCCUACAGUAUUUUUAUCCAUUUUUUUUUUCCCACCACCACUUAGAUAACAACAAGGAUAGAUGUGCAUGAGAAUGUCCAAUUAAGGGUAAAGGACAGAUUUCCAGCCAGAGAGGGUGCUGUGCUGUCCCGCCUGCCUUACUUAGCUCGGCUCUGUCUUGGGUGUUAGGUAACAGGCAGGCACCGGGCUAGAGACGCACAUGUAUGUGUUUAAUCUGGAUGAUUACCUCACAGCAUCAUUGCUCCAGUACGUAGAUAUGGAACCAGAAGCUCAGAGGGGCGGAGAGCUUACCUGAGUCCACACAGCAUGAAAGUGGCAAGCUGAGAUUUGAGUGUGGACCCUCCGGCUCUAAAGCCAGCCUCGUGCUGCUGCACCAUGCUGCCGUCAGUGGCUGGGUGGCACCUCCAGGGUACAUUUAAACAAGGCUCUGGGUCUACAGAGGCCAUUCCCCAAGGCCCCAUGUCAUGGUGUGGCCCGGGCCAGCUCUGGCUUCCUCCACAGGUAGAAGUCUGAUCGUCCCCCGAAUGGGGCAUGCUCGUCCCCCUGCCCAUUGCCCUCUCUUUGUUUAAGCUUCAGGGAUGGGGCCCUGUUACCUGCCCCUCUCUUUAAAAUUGAACACAAGAGUUUUUGUGUGGCCAGAGAAGUUACUAGAGAGCAGCUUUCUUGGGAGACGUGCAGAAGGACCCUGACCAUGACCUAGAGCCCAACAAAGGGGCUCAUGCAAGGAGGGAGGCUCAGGCAGCCAGAACCGCCGAGGAGGGUCAGGGUGGUCCGUGUUGUGGGUGAGGCUCCAGCCCAGGCUCAGGCCUUCUGUUGAGACCCUCUCCCAAGCAGGCAGGAUGGAGGCUCCUGUCUCACGCCCCAGCCUGGGGCUCCCACCUGGCUUCACCUGGGUAAGGUUGGCCCCAGAGCCCACCUUGACUUAAUGAGCCGAUGCUGAGGAAGAAGGGGCUUGCCUCUUCAGGAGCUGCUCUUCAAUUUUUUUUUUUUUAAUUUAUGAUAGUCACAGAGAGAGAGAGGCAGAGACAUAGGCAGAGGGAGAAGCAGGCUCCAUGCACUGGGAGCCCGACAUGGGAUUCGAUCCCGGGUCUCCAAGAUCGCGCCCUGGGCCAAAGGCAGGCGCUAAACCACUGCGCCACCCAGGGAUCCCAGGAGCUGCUCUUCAGAGAAGGGGUCCUGCAUUUGCUGGAAUGUUCCCCAUGCUUGGGCCUCUGACAUGCCUCCCAUCUUCCCUCUGCAAGCCACAGGUGUCCGUACCUGUGUUUGUUUGCAUGUGGGACACUUCACUGAACAAAGCAACACCUGCUUUAGGAGGGCUGGAGCCACUGUCACGGGAGCUUUGGAGGAGAGGCCAGAGGACACGUUAGCCAGGUGUGUCCCGAGGAGAUUCCACCUCCUGCAUGGGCCUGGGUGGGGUGAUUGCUCUGCUGUCCCUCCCUUUUCCCUGAGAUCAAGGUCAAGAGGCAGGUGAGAGUUUCCUGCCCUCCCCUGCCCUCCAGAGAGAGAUGAUUGUAUCUUCUUUCAGGAGAUCCCUGGGAUCGGAGGGAGAAAGUUAGGGAGGGCAGGCUGGUACCACUUGGCUGGGGAGGCAAUAAGCCAUUUUCCAGCCUGUUCCAAAUGGAAGGCCUGGAUGCCGGCCAGACCACUAGCGUAUGUUGGAAUCCCUCCCUGGAGACUGGAGAAACUCGGCCAUCGUCUGCUGUGCGCCUGACUCCUUCCAGACAAAUGCUCCUGUCCUUCCUCAGGAGCAUGACCUUCUUUCAUCAUUAGCAGUGAUAUUAUUGAUAAUUAUUAUCCUUACUGUGCUCAUCUAUCGUGCAUCUUCCUUGUGCUGUGCUCUGUUUGUAUCCCAUUGACUUCUCAACCCAUCCCUGAGAGGCAGAAGUGAGGUGCAGAGAAGGGCACGUUAAUUAUCAUCCCCCCUUUUUUUCUGCUGAGAAAACUGAGGCCAGACCAGUGCGUCUGAGAACCCACAUCUAGAGAGCUGUGAUUCAGAUCCGCCGCUGCUGGCUCCCCAGGCUGGGUGGCUACCCGGCGUCUCCCUGCGUGCACGCUCUCCACCGUGAACCCUCUGGAACGGACCGACCCAGGACGGGGACUCCGAGGCUGGGGCUGUUUGGGUCCUGGAUCAAGGAUUUCAAGUGUAGGUCCUGGAAGGGGGACAGGAGCAUGUGCACAUGUUGAGCAGUCUGAGAACCUCCCAGCAGUAAAGAAGCAUUAGAGAGCCCCCAGUGAGGACCUGUAAUGUCAGGGCGGGUAAAGGGGUGGAGAACUGGCAGGUCCCCGGCUGCCUGGCCCAGGACACCAUCUCCCAGCCUGCUGGGCAGUCACCGGGGAGUGCAGGGCUGGCCCUGGGUUGCCAGCACCAGCCCCAGGACCAGCAUCGUGCUCUCUGCCAGCUGUCCCCCGGCACCCUGGGCCGUGUCCUGGCACGUGCCCUUGACGCCCCCCCCCCCAGAAUGAAUGCUAGUUGGGCUGGGUGCCCUGAUGGAACAACCAAGCAGCUGUGCUCAGGGACCCCACAGGAACAGUCAGAGUCCCAUUGUCCUGUAGUGGCCUGCCCCACCUCUCCUGCCCUGCCUGCCCCAUGGGCCUCUGGCCUCGGUCAUUCCGUGACGGGGACAUGGGACAGGCCGGCUGAGCUGAAUGCUGAGAGCCCAGAGGGACAGAGUUCAUAAUCUCCAAGCGGAAAAGAAGGAGCCCCUCCAAGAGACUCAGGUCAUCAGAAUCAAGUAGGUGGCCAGAUGUCCCCGGAAAGUCACUUCUGGGAGAUUAGACCUUGGGCAUUUUCUUGCCUCUCUUUUUUUGGGGGGCGGGGCGGUGUGUGUGACAGAGGACAAAAUAGUGCAAACCACAGUGACUGAAGAGAGGAACGAUUCCCCCAGAGUGAGAAGAGGGCAGCUGUCAGGAGCAAAAUGGAAUGGUCGAAAUGUAUGAAAAAUUGGCUCCAUAGAUUUGGGAGUGUAAGUCUGUGUUGUUUGUUUUGAGUCACUGGGAAAGUCAUAAAUUGUUUUAUCAAGAGAGAUGAUAAAAGCAGAGGGAGCCCUGGGAGAGGCAGGACAGGCUGCGCGGUACCCCAGACGUACCCCGCACCCAUCCUUCGGCCAUGGUACGGACUUGCACCUGCUGGAACUCGAGCCAGCUGCUUUCAUGAGGCUCCAUCCUCUGGCCCUGGGUCCUUCCCGCCAUCCCAGGAGGGUGGCUGAGACCUGUCCUGCCUUGGGGUUAAAUCCUGACACAUCCCCAAGGCAUAUGUGCAGGGAACUUGUGUGUUGUGGCAGUUGGGGAAAUCCAGAGCCCUUAUUCUUCACCAUGUGGCUAAGCAGCCACCAGUGAUCCCGGGGGCUGUCCCACUACGGUCUUAAGGAACGAGAGAAUCACUGCACGUCCAGUCCAAAGCAUUGUCCCAGCAAUCUGGGUGAUUCUGACCAGGGCUCUGUAUGCUGGUAGGAAGGGAGUUUCCAAACGUUCACACUUCGGGGGGACGGAGUCUCUGAGAGGUUUGUGAGAGCUUGGGCUGGUCGGCAGGAGCCCAGGGCAUCCAUGUAGCAACGUUUCUCCACCAUUAUGCCAGUGGUUCUCAAUCUUGGAAGAUUCUGUCCUUUCGGGGGAUCUUUGGCAAUGUCCGGAGACAAUUUUGGUUUUCACAACUUGGUGGGGGGUGACCUUCUACUGGCAUCUAGCGGAUAGGAGCCUGCGAUGCUGUUGAGCACCCCCAACAACACAGAAUGAAUGAACUGGCCCCAAAACACCAAUUGUGGUGAAAUGGGGAAAGCCGGCGGUGGGCAAUGCUAGCUCCAAAGCUCUACCUUUCCCCCUUUUGUGAGUCGUCGAAUGCAUCAGAGCUCUUCUGGGCAACAGCAGGGAUCCCGGCUGCAGCCCUGAGGUCAGAUAAUCCCAGCAGAGGGCAGUGGCCUGCAGCCUAGCAAGUCUUGGGUAUCCAUGGACUCCCCAUUCCCACCACCUUGGGCUCUCAAGGGGAGACUCGGCCCGGAUGGAGGAAGCCCUACAAAGCGGAUGGGAAGGCGAGGCUGAACUUGUCCCAGUAGCUGUGGUCCCUGGGACCUGGAGGGACCUGACUUCUGCUGCAUCUGAGAAGCGCUUCUUGGGGGGGGGGGGGGGCAGCAGGGAGCUUGGAAAGGAUGAGGAUGGGAGGGGCUGCCUAACAGCCUGUGGACAAACCUGCAUCUUAACCUUGUUUUUGACUCUCCAUGUGCCCCAUCCCACCCCCCCACCCCUGAUUGAAGGCAUAGUCACACUUUCUACUAUUUAAAGUUUUGCAGAAACCGUAUUGUAACGAGCCGCUCUCCAGACACCAGUUCUUCACGCAGAGAGAAUCAGAAACGUUUCUGUGUCUUACUAAUGUUUUCAUAAUCAACUUGUAAGUAGUUUACUUAAUUAAAAAAAAAAGGUAUUUUAACUAUUCUUGUAACCCUUUGCUACUCAACACCCCCCACCCCCAGUUUUGCGAUGAGAUCACUAACUUUUACUACAGUGAAAAGACGAUUUCUUAAUGGAGGGCUUCAAGGCGCUCUUUGGUGAAAAAUAUCUAACCUUGAUGGAUGUAAAAAUGUGGCUGUGGAGUCGUGUCCGUUGUCAGCACUAUUGCUUUUGUCUUUUUCUAUUAUGAUCAUUAAACACAAAAAC
rnacentral:lncRNA from 1 species